rnacentral:misc_RNA from 1 species
AAAAAAUCUUAAAAGUACUUUUAAUUUCAUUUUCCUCCAAUUCCUAACAACGUGUUUGGUGAAUUGAAAAAGUGAGGGCUAUAAAGUACCAUGCUACUUCAAAAACCCAUCCCCUACCUUCAAAAAAUUCCUCCAAACAAGCUGUUAAAAACAAUAAAAUCCGUAACUAAAAUUCAAGAUUCAAAAUGUGCAUCACACGUUAAG